UGGGGAAUCUUCCACAAUGGGCGCAAGCCUGAUGGAGCAACACCGCGUGAGUGAAGAAGGGUUUCGGCUCGUAAAGCUCUGUUGUUAAAGAAGAACACGUAUGAGAGUAACUGUUCAUACGUUGACGGUAUUUAACCAGAAAGUCACGGCUAACUACGUGCCAA
rnacentral:rRNA from 1 species